GCCGGGCUUGGUGGCGCGUGCCUGUAGUCCCGGCUGCUCGGGAGGUUGAGGCGGGAGGAUCGCUUGAGUCCAGGAAUUCUGGGCUGUAGUGAGCUAUGCUGAUCGAGAGUCUGCACUAAGUUCGGCAUCAUGGUGACCUCCCGGGAGCGGGGAACCACCAGGUUGCCUAAGGAGGGGUGAACCAGCCCAGACAGGAAACAAGAGCAGGUCAAAAAUCCACAUGGAGGGCUGGAGAGAUGGCUUAGCAGUUAAACGCUUGCCUGUGAAGCCUAAGGACCCCGGUUC
rnacentral:SRP_RNA from 1 species